CCUACGGGAGGCUGCAGUGGGGAAUAUUGCGCAAUGGGCGAAAGCCUGACGCAGCGACGCCGCGUGGGUGAUGAAGGCCUUCGGGUUGUAAAGCCCUGUCGGGUGGAACGAACGAUCUGGCGGCGAAUAACCGCCGGGUGUGACGGUACCACCGACGUAAGCCCCGGCUAACUACGUGCCAGCAGCCGCGGUAAGACGUAGGGGGCGACUGUUGUUCGGGUUUGCUGAGCGUAAAAGGCACGUAGGCUGUGAAAUCCCUCGGCUUAACCGAGGUCCCGCAUCCGAUACUGUCUGGCUCGAGUCUAGGAGAGGAAAGCGGAAUGCCCAGUGUAGCGGUGAAAUGCGUAGAUAUUGGGAGGAACACCGGUGGCGAAGGCGGCUUUCCGGACUAGUACUGACGCUGAGGCGCGAAAGCUAGGGGAGCGAACGGGAUUAGAUACCCGGGUAGUC
rnacentral:rRNA from 1 species